GGGAACCAUUCAGCUGUCCAGGGGAGGAGAUCCAGUAUCACAGGUGACGCAUACAUACACAUAAUGAACAUAUCUUAGGCCACUUUCACACCUGCGUUAGGUGCGGAUCCGUCUGCCAUCCGCACAGACGGAUCUAGGACCUCCUCAUUUUAAC